CUGCCAAGUCUGUUAGAAGACCGAGACGUAUUUUUUAAAAGCGUGUUGUGUCGCUCAUACUGACUCUAGCGAGUAAAGUCAGACGACAGUCGAAAUGGUCGUAGAUCUACCCCCUUUAUUUCCAGGAAUAUUCCUAUCUCUGGUAUUUCUAUAUGGAAUCGAGGCUUUCAUAGGAGAAAAUAAUUGUGGAUCCAGUACAUACAAUGCUACGAGCAUGUGUUGUGGUGGACAGAUAGUUAGUAGACCGACAACCGAUUUAACUGGAAGCAGUUCAGUAUGUUGUGGCAACAGUAGUUUUGACAAACGAUCGAGCAUGUGCUGCCGUGGGAAAAUCCUCAGAGUACCAGCAGCUUGUACUGGAUCCAAUAGAAUAUUUGCCAGCUGUUGUGGUUUGUAUAGUUUAGAUGUAAGAUAUUACCAAUGCUGUGGAGGCCAGGUUGUUCAAAGCCCACCAUUCUGGCCAGAGAAUAUCCAUUUCAAGUGUUGCGGAACCAGUGGAUAUGAUGACAGAAAACUCAUGUGCUGUGCGGAUCAUGUUGUUAAUAGACCAGCAACAGACUCUAAUUCAAUGUGCUGUGGCAUUUCUAGUUAUGACACUCGUACCACCAAAUGUUGUGAUGGCAAACUGUGUUAGUGAUCAGUUCAUACAUAAUGCCAUGAUUUUUAUGUAAAUAAAUUUAUGGAAAGCAGUAAAUAUACAAUAAAG